rnacentral:rRNA from 1 species
UAGGGAAUCUUCGGCAAUGGACGAAAGUCUGACCGAGCAACGCCGCGUGUGCGAAGAAGGUUUUCGGAUCGUAAAACUCUGUUGUUAGAGAAGAACAAGGACGUUAGUAACUGAACGUCCCCUGACGGUAUCUAACCAGAAAGCCACGGCUAACUACGUGCCAGCAGCCGCGGUAAUACGUAGGUGGCAAGCGUUGUCCGGAUUUAUUGGGCGUAAAGCGAGCGCAGGCGGUUUCUUAAGUCUGAUGUGAAAGCCCCCGGCUCAACCGGGGAGGGUCAUUGGAAACUGGGAGACUUGAGUGCAGAAGGGGAGAGUGGAAUUCCAUGUGUAGCUGUGAAAUGCGUAGAUAUAUGGAGGAACACCAGUGGCUAAGGCGGCUCUCUGGUCUGUAACUGACGCUGAGGCUCGAAAGCGUGGGGAGCAAACAAG